ACUAGCUAAAUGCAUGAACGCACUAGCUCCAAUUACAAUCAUUUCUCAAGAGCAGAUGUGAUGUAGGCUGAUUGCAGAGUCCCGUGAUUUUGUUUCCAUGCUUUAUGUAUCUGUGCAUGGGUACAAGUGGGAUUUCUUUUUUAAAAGUGCCUUUGUUUUUUUUCCCUGAUGACAAAAUACCAGGUCAUUGUAGAACUUCUGGAAAAUGUUUUCAAGAGGACAAAAGAAUUAAAAUAACCUUAAUCCGAUUAUUCAGAGAAAAGCAGUACUCCAUUUUAUAGUGCACCCUUUUAGCUCUCCGUGUGUGUGUGUGUGUGUGACUGAGACCAGUGGUUCUGCCAACAGAAUGGACAGAUGAGCCGCUUGGUCCGCCCCCACCUGUCGCUCGGGCUUACUCUCUGCUUCCCCCUUCACCCUGGCACUCUCUCCCUCCUCUUUGCACUUCCUCUACUUUUUUGUAAGUUGCUUCUGACCCUGGAAAACAGGAGUACUUGAAGCUUGAUAGGAGAAGACAGGGACCAUCUCCUUAACUGCACAGGUGAAGAAGCAAAGACCCAGAGAGGGCAUGGGUCUUGCCCAGGGCUGCCCAGCGAGUUGGCAGAAUGGGGACACUCAUGUCCCAGCCCGGUGUCCCAGAACACCCUCUGUAGUCUCCUUGUCACUCAGAUGCAUCCUUUACAGCAAGUCCAGAAGAGAAAAAGGACCCUCAAUUUCUCAGGAAACAAACUGGACACAGAGGUGGCUCCCCACAGGGCGCCUGUGCCCCUGCUCCUGCUCCCUUCCUCACCGCAAAGCCUGUUCCCCAUGGAGAGUCUCUUCCAGGGACCCCCUCCUCAUCCUGUCCCCUGGUCCCAGGUCCCUGGCUCCGCUCUGCUCCCUACCCACAGGGCUUCCAUCUGGAGCCUCCACACGUGCUCCCGCCACCCGGGCACAUGUGACCCAGCGGUCUGAAUGGCUUCCUCUGUCACCUUCUCAUCUUCACUGAAACAUCACCUCCUCCCAAGACCGUCUCUGAAGCUGUAAACCCCACCCCAUUUGCACACACACUCAUGCACGUGACUCCCUACCAUCCCCCUUACUGUUUUCCCCAGGACACCAGCAGACUUGCACCCCAUUUUCUGUGUUUCUUGUCUGGUUCCACUGGAAUGACAAAAGGUCUGUGCUUGGGGGACCCCACUGCUGACCGCUGAGCCCCUUCCCCAGCACAAAGCUCGUGGUCAGUAAAUGGCUGAAUAAAAGGUGAAUGGGAUUUGAAUGAAGGAACAGAGGAGGGCAUCGUACGCGUUGCUCUGAGCACGGGCUCUCUCUGAAUCCGUCCACUCUGAAGGCAGGAGAGCAGGAAUGUUGCUCUGGUCCCCUCAGAAGGGUCGCAAUCCAUGCCGGGGGUUCCAACUUUGCACCAGACCAUAGACUUCUCAACACAUUGCCAUUCGCAGACUGCAGAGGGUGAUUGGGGCUGUGACAUCGAGAUAAGUGAGCAGCUCUCCAUGGAAGGGGCAGGGGGUGAGUGAGGUGAGGUGUGUGGACGAGGCAAUAUCCACAGGGAGCUCUGGUGGCUGAACAGCAGUCUGGGAGGCGGGCAGAGGCGGGUGGAUUCCAAGCAAGGAGAGUCACACCUGCAGAAGAGCAGAGGCUGUGACAGUGACCCACAGGCCCCUAGCUGGGGUUGGAGCAUCAGGGAAGGGAUGCCAUGCACAGUGGCCUGCUCGGGCUGCUGUGACAAACACAGACUGGCAGCUCGCACCAGACAUUUAUUCCACACAGCUCUGGGGGAGGAAAGCCCAAGGCCAGGGCUCCGGCAGGCUGGUCCCUCUGAGGCCUCUCUCCCCUUGGCUGGCAGACAGCCACCUUCUCCUGUGUCCUCACAUGCUCGUCCCCAUGUCUAUGUCUGUGUCCUCAUCUCCUUUCCUCAUAGGGCCACCAGUUCUGUUGGAUUACAGCCCCUCCUAAAGGCCUCAUUUUAUCUUAAUUACCUCUUGAAAGGCCCUAUCUCCAAAUACAUCACACUGGUGUUUACAGCUUCAAUUUAUGAAUUUUGUGGAAGCCACAAUUCAGGCCACACAAAGACACUGGAAGGCCACACAUGGCGGGGAGUGAGUCAGUGGGGUGUGGAGGGCUCUGGGUGCCUCAGCUAGGGCUUGGGGUUUCUCCUGGGGGUUACAAGGAAGGAACAAUACCCAUAGGUUCUGGUGUUCAACCCUGAAUUCAGAAGAACUUGUAUUUAACUUGGAUGUUCCUUUGAAUGCUGGAUGCCUCCCCACGGUGUAGAGGGAAAACCAACCAGAGACCAUGGAGGGCGGGCACGCUUUUAUGGGAUAAACUAAAAUCACCCUCCGUAUAGUACACAAGUGAGGUCCACAAAGUAUGAUCACAAAAUGCUUGAUAUUCGUUGCCAACCACAUUCAGUUUUGGUCGUAUCAGAGAAUACUUCUCAGUCUUCAUGCUUAUUCAUUUAUCCUCGAUGGAACAUCUUUGGGGGCCCUUCCCUUGUGACAUCCCGCUCUGUGGGGAAAACCUCCCUUUCUGUGAUGGGUGAGGUCACUUAUCUUUGAGGGCUUGGGAGUCCAUGCCAGUUCCAGGGACUGUGGGGGUGGAAUAAGGCUCCUGUUGUUUCCUCUGAGACAGUCUUUGAGGAGCUCAGACAGGUGUAAUGACGGAAGCCCGUGCCCUGAGGGAACCUGGGACCUUAUUGCACACAGUUGUGCACAGCCACAGCUGGAAACCACUGUGACUCCCCAUUUGGGGCUCAGCUGCCCUUGAGACCCUGUGAUCACUUCCUGGUGAGCCUGCUGGUUGACCUGGGGCAAAGCUCUCCUGUGUUAUUCAAUAAACUAUGACCUCUGGUUCCCAUUAGUUCUCUUAUUCUUGAGAAUUCACUGUGGGUGUGCGUAGCUCUGGGUGGAAGGGGGUUUCAGCUCCAGGCAAGUUCACUCUGGAUGUGAUGAGAUCAAAAUAUGACAACGGAACUUUGGGACUGGGUAAAAGGGCUUUUAUACCCAGCGUUAUUCUCAUGAUGGUAGGUCAAGCACUAGAAUCACGUCCGCCUUCAGCAAGUGUGCAUGCAGCAAGCCCGCCUCGGUCUCUGCCUCUACCUCUGCUCCAGGCUCUCUCUUCUCCUCCAGCCUCUGCUGUCUGCCUCAAGGCCUGGGCAGAGCUCUUUAUAGCAAUAGGCAAUAUUGGUUUAUUGCCAGCAGGUGUGGAAACAUUAGCCCAUGCAAUAGGCCGAUUACAUCAAGGAGAUUAGGGUCAGAUGAGGAUCCUGGCCAUAGGAACUUCCAUUUUCCCUACAGCCUGGCACUUUCUAGAUGUGGGAGAUUCAAAGAUAGUCUCAGGGGGUGUGGUUCUACAGUGGAGAGCUUAGGUACACUGUUUUGUGACUACCCCAGGGCUGGGGACCCAGGGAGAAGUCAGGGUCCUCCUUAGGAGAGAUGAGGCGAGUGGAGUUCCACAGAGUCAGAGGGAAUGUUCAGAGGGGGUAAGAAUGUGUGCAAGGCCCAAGCAGGAGGAGAGCCUGCUGGCUCAGUACGUGGUGCCUGGGGCCUGGGGGGUCCGACUGCAGAGCCCUAGGAGGGUGGCCUUGGCUUCUGGCUCUUCCUCCAGGCCCCAGGCCAUCGAGGGACAGGACCCGGAGAGGCACCAAGGAGCUUCCCUUUUCUGCUGAGUGAACGGGACAGACAGAGCGUGAAGGAGAGGAGAGAACUCAACACAUAGCGACCCCCCCCCUGGCAAGGACGGCUCCGUGAGCCAUGGACUAGGGCUAAUCAUAUCUGCAGACCUCUUCCUGCGAAAAAUGAGGCAGGAGGAGAAGAGGAACUUGGAGGAACGCAGGCAGGGUGAUGUGUGGAGUCGCCAGGUUAGAGGAGAGGAGGGAGGCGGCUGCAUGUGUGUUUUUUGGUUUUCCCCUUAGGAGAGUCCAGAAGACUCUCCCGCUCCAGCCGGACUCUGGUCCAUUUCUGCGGCCCUGCAGCCCUGUCUCGGGGUCCUCUGGCACUUGCGCUCUGUCAUUUCUGCCUUGCUGGUUUCCAUCUGGGCCACCUCUCCUGAGUGCCUGCCUGCUGGGCGUCCCAUUCUAUUUGGACUCUGUUCUUUGCAUUUGCUUCAGAAAAGUCAAAAUCACUUUUGUUAACACGGUAGGCAGAUCAGGACAUUUCUAGGUGGUCUCCGAGAGCCGCGGGCCCGUUCAGACUCUUCCUUACACCCCCCGUGGCUGUGUGCUGCUGCCUCUCACAGGGAGGGCUUGUCACCGAAGUGGGAUUUGCUCUGCGCAGCCUCUGUAGGGCCUUGUUGGGCCGGAGGAGGAAAGGCUGCGACCUCGGGCACCUGAAACCCCCCGAAGGACGCGCCGGGGAUGAUGACGGCCACGGGUGGGGAAAGCAGGGUCGCAGCCCAGCAGCAGCUGCCCACGCGCACGGCCAAAGCGCAGCUGCGGGUGGGGCCCCGGAUCUGGUGCCGAGCCUGGGACCUCCCUGCUGUCUUCCAGAGGCUCUGUGGCCAGUGGGGGCCUGGUGUGGAGGCAAGCACGUUAGUCAAAACAUGAUCUACUUCAUCAUUUUUCUAACAAAAAAGAUGAUCUUAAGGGCACAGAGAAAGUAGUUAAAAAUGACGUAUUCUGUACAAGCCAGACGAGGACAGGAAUUUGCCUGAGUUGGCAUAUUGUUACCCAACCCUUUGGUAUUUUCCCCUGCGUUUGGUCCUGAGUAUAGGAAGUUAUUUUUCAUAUACUAAACGUUUUUCUGAAGUCUCAAACCCCUGGGAUUGCUGAUCUUGUGGAGUUCUGUGAUUUGCCUCAAGCAUUACUGGGACUUUGCAGAGCAUCCUGUUAUUUUGUCACAGGCUUUUUAUUCCUUGAUCUCAUUACAUCCUGGAAGUUCCUGGUAAUGAGUGCCUCUCCCCCACCCCACAGCUGUUGCCUGUUUAUAGGACAGAGGCACUAUCUGUAUAUUCAACUUUUCAUGGGAAAGAUCUGGGUAAAAGGUCUGGUGUUUCUGGAUGAUUCCAGCAGACCCGGCAUCGCCCAGAACCCCACUAGUUCAUGAGACAGAAAAUGAGGGGGAGACUGGCCCCGGCAGGCGAGACCCGUGGGAAGGUGACCACUGGUCCCACCAUGGGAAGCAGUCUUCCUCGCCCUCCAAAAUCAAAUUGUUGCCCUACAAUGUGAUGCACAAGGAAGAUCAUCUUGCUAGACAUCAAGAACCGUAGUUAUGACACUUUUUGUCAUGCUGUUUUCUUGUAUUUAUACAGUGGAGAGCAGGAUGUUUUCAAAUAAACCUUCUAAAUAUGAAAUCCUGAGAAUGCAUUAUUUCUAAAACGCCGCACCGUUAACAGCCUUUUAGCUGGUUACAUUAUAAAGCAUGUUGUAACAGCUUAAAAAAAAAAAAUCUGAGCCAAAAUGUGUUUCCAUAGCCCAUAUGCUGAAUUCUGGCAUCUUUAUACCUUUUUCAAGCUGUUGUCAAUUAGUAAAGAAAUUAAUUUCCAACUUUAUGUCCUUUGUGAAAUCGAGCUCAUGCUCGGAUACUGCAGGGAGUAACAAGGGAUACGUUUUCCUCCGGUUAAAGGUGACUCAGUGGCACGGUAGCUGGGAAGACAAAAGCGUGUGGCUCCAAGUGGCCACGGAUGGAGACCUGGACCAUCAGCAAACAGAAGAGGAGGAAAUGGCUUUUGUUGAGGCAAACAAACUCUCUUCCAGGCCAACAAGCUGUGAUCUUGGACUUUUUGCCAUAUGCACAUUUUUUUUUAAAAAGAGAGAGACAAGUGGAACCUUCAUAAUCAACAGCAUUCCUCGCGCUGCCCAGGGAACAGGCAUCCAUGCAUGGCAGCCCUUGGCAGCGUGCAGCUCUUGUCUAACCCGGAUCAAAUCGCCCCUGGAGUCCCUUUUCCCUGGGACUUGGAGUCUCCCUUUGUUCCUAUGCUCUGUGCUCUUGGGACCUAACAAGGACAUUUUUAGCAUUAUUGGAAUGUGUCAGCUGAUGACCCAACGUGCUUUUCUGGUGGCAGCAAAUGGACAUGUGGCCUUGUGGCUUCAGGAUGCAGUUGCUUUACUUUUCACUGGUCAUCUGUUUUGGGUCCUUACGCUUUGGCAUAGAGUGCCACCACCGAUGGGAUUUCUGCUGUUGGAUGUUACAGAAGUGCAGAAAACCAACCAGAGCUUCCUUAGAAAACAGGCAUUGGAACCGUGAUAGCACAGUUCUAAACAUCACAUUGCAGCCUUCAGGAGGAAGGAAAUCUGGGGUUGCCAGCAUCCUCGUUCCAGUGAAGCACUGAGACUGAGGACCAAAAGCAGAAGAUGCAUAAUAAUCACGGGGAAAUCUGGAACCAGAGGACCAUGGCUGGGCGUACAGGCCACUGAGCUCGUCUUCUGUCACUUCACAUCUGGGUGCAUUUGAUUCGAUCUGCAGUCAUACGGAUUCUGUCUGCAGUUGGGACUUCCAAAUGAGCAGCCCAACGCCUGGAUUAUUUCAUGAACCACUGUUUGGGUCACAUACAUAUUUCAUGGCUCUCCCCCUACCAAAGAUGGAGAAAUGGGUUGCCUUAAAGUAGGGAGAAAAAAACAUAUUACCUAAGCUUCAUGUUCUUCAGACCCAAAUAGUAGCUUUCCUAGGGUUUUGACCUAGAAACACACUGGGUUUGCCAUCUCCUAUUUAAUAAACAAAGAUGUAACUCCCCGGGCUGGCAAAGACGUAAUGAAACUCAAACAUCCUUACUUUGCCUGGGGAUAAUAAAAAUUGUUCAGUUAGAAAACAUUUUUGUUUCUAUGAAUGAAGACUCCCCAAAACAUCUCUUGUAAUCCAGAAAUCCCGUUUUUGGCAAAUGUACUCUAACUUUACAUUUGUAAAAAGAUGUUCAUCUCAGUGUUAUUUAUAGUAGCAAAGAUAGAGGCAGUCUCAGUGCCCUGCUAUUCACAGCAAAGGGAGUCUGGAUUUCAUUCCCCUGAUGGUAAUUCCCAAGUACAAAUCAUGCAACAACGAGGGGAAAAUAUUCAUGUAUUUUAUAUGUUAGGGUAAAACUCAACUCCAGGCCCCCAGUACCUAACCAAGACCUGAGGCACAACAGGUAUUUAGGAAAUGUUUGUUCAGUUGAAAUGAUCCACUUUUACCAUCUUCCUGGGCAGCCCUGGUAGAGAAAUUCCUUGUCCCCUUCCCACACGCUAAGACAUGCCCCUUGGGACCAUUAGAUAACGGGUGUUGACUGAGUGAGGACUCAGAUCAUAUGCCCUGGCUCUUCUUGCUGGACAGCACGCCUCCUGCCCCUUUGGAAGGCACUGUGUCCUGCAGGAUCCUGUGCCUCAGGGCAGAGUAAAUGCAUACCAGGUGGCUUUGUCUUGCCUGGCGGAGCUUAGACUGGCUGGGAAGAGCCUGAUAAGGCCAUGUCAGCCUGCCAGGGCCCCACUGAAAUGUGCAGAGCCUCCCGGGAGGCCACAAGAAAUAUGAUGACUUUUGUGGGUUGUUAAAAAAGUAAGUGGUGAGCUAUGAAGGCAUCAUUCUGCAGUUGGAGUUCUUUCUCUCAGCAGUAUCUUUGAGGUCCUCCCAGGCCUGUUCAGCCAAUUCCUGUUGGCCAGCCCUGGAAAUGAGACCAGACUUUAAUAAUACUUCUGGUGGAUGAGGGCAGGCGUGGUUUGUCAUUCGUUGGUUUGGUUUUUAUUUUUCAUUUCUGCAACUACUCUUUGCUCUCUAAUAUUUACUACAGCUAAUACUUGACUCCCCUGUGCCCUGAGCACUUUGUGCCAAUAAUCUCAGUGAAUCUUACCUCUGAAGAGGGCUGUUAUUACCCCCCACUUUGCAGAUGUGGAGACUGAGGCCAAAGAGGUUGGAAAGCCCACUUGAGGCCUCUCUCUGAGGGAGCCAGACCGCAUCCAAGGAAGUCUAGUACCAGAGUUGUCCUUCCCAAUCCCACACUCCAGAGCUGCCCCGAUGCUUUUCAGGUUUUCCCCAGAUAUCUGCUUUAAACAUGUAUGACCUCUAAUCGGAGAACGGAUGCUUGUCCAUGCAUACGGGUGUUUUUCUUCAUUGCACAUGGUGCCUCCUGAAUAGAAAUCAUUGCCUAGGGGAAUGUUCUACAUCUGCCCUACCUGUACAGCUGCUAUGCAUAACAUAUGGCCGUGGGGCGCUUAAGGUGCAGCUGCUGAGUCUGAGCAUCGGAGUGUUUAGUGGUUUUCAUUUUAGUUCAUUUAAAGUUUAAUUGACCCAUGUGGCUGCUGUACUGGACAGGGCAAUUUGGUGCUGCACAUUUGCAGUCACACUGUGGGCUGGCAUAAGGAACUUGGCGCCCUGCUGGUAUAAAGGGACUUGGCGUCUCCGGGAGUGCCCACUUGUGCAGGGGCUGGGUGGGCAGCCGCAGGAACAGUCUAUGCCUCUGUGCUGGGAGAAGAGCUGCAUGCUCAGAUGGCCAUCUCUAACCUCUUCCCGGGCAGGGCCGGGAGGGGUCAGGGGCUCAAGCUAGCAGGACGCCUACAAUCCUGGUGGAUGGAUUCCACCAGAGUCCCCUGUGCCUUGUCCAUUAUUCUGACAAGACUGAGUGGGUGGAGAGUGUCUGCAGCCAGAUUCCAGACCCUGGGCCUCCACCCCCACCAUUAUCAUGUGGGACCCCAGCAGCUCCUUAGGAAGCAGAGACUUGAUUCAGAAAGUAAGGCUCCCUGGGCUGUGGCUUGCUCUUGCAUUUGCUUGAGGAAUGGACAAGAAAGACCUAUAUCACCUUUUCCAGACUCCCAGAAAUCACAAGGAAGUCUUCAGGGAUCAAACUCCCACCAUUAUCCUCACAUACCAGCACUGUGUGCCGCAUGUCAGUACAUAGCUGACGCUGGUGUAGGAGCAGGAGGCGAUUUCCCGGGACCCCAGGGGCAGCUGGUGAUGGCUGGGAACCGAAAACAGCGAUGAUCCAAUGUCAAGAACACAGGGCUGCUGCAGGUCCUCGCCCCGUCUUCAUGAUAACCCGAUAACGUUGGUCAGCAUUUAUUGAGCACUUACUGAGUACCACCCACAGUGCUAACUGCCUGACACUCAUGCUCUUUUAAUCAUCAGGCACCCAUUGGAGGGCACUUUGUGAGUGUCCCUGUGCUCAGGUGAGGUGAGACUCCAGACCUCUGCCCUUAACUCCAGGCCUCAAUUGCACAUCAUUCUCUCUGGCUUCUGUCUCCUCAUCUUUAAAUUGAGUGGUGACGCCUCCCUCCAGGUUUGAGUCAUGAUCAAACAAGAGAAGGAACCCCAGGUCCAGGAGACUGACAUAGAAGUGCUUAACGAAAGAGUCUCUAUCUCUUCGCCUUCAUAAUACCUUAGCUGCAUUUGAAUUUGCAGUAGUGUUUAUUCAUUCACUCGUUCACUGAACAACUGUGGAAGGGGCGCUCACCCUGCUGGCCCUGGCCGGUGUGAAUGCAGGGAUGGACCUGUUCCCUUUCUGGGAGGGGAGUUUGAGCUCUCGAGGGCAGGAGCCAUUUGUCAUGGCCGAUUUGCUCCAUGACCCCAUCCACGUACUCUCUGUGGUUGAGAAAAUGCUGACGCACUUCCUGCCUUUUCAAAAAGCCCUGGGUUCCUGACAUCAUGAGUUCUAGUUGCUUUGUAUCUCCAAGGCUUCCAGAAAGCUCCACUUCUUAAAUAUUAAAACUAUCAUGUCUCUCAUCCUGGAGAAAUGAAUUUGCACUUAAAGCAACUCACCUUACCUUGUGGAAUCUCCUUUGGGGUUUUUUUUUUUUCUUUUAAGUCAUGUGUGUUACAGUUUCAUUACAGUUUCAUCAGAAGUUAAGUGUGAGUUGCAGUGUUUCUGUUUGUAUCAUAUUUUUCCAACCCUAAGCCCCAAACAACUGUAAAAGCACUACAUGGGAACCUGGAGGAGGACACCACAGAUGUAACUGGAUGUGUUUUCAGGGUAGCCAAAAGUCCGUUACAUGUUAAACCUGGGCAUUUUUAGUUUGAAGGAAACUGAGCGGGAAGGUCAUUCAGUACCUGUCUCUAAGAAAGCCGCGAUUAUGCUGAGGGUGUAGACCGGUGAUCUUCCAUCUCUCUGGAGAGCUGAGCGGGAGAAAAUCCUUGUAGGUGUGAGAAGUACAGCUUAGACAUACAGAAGACUCUGACGGAAAUGAAUGCUGAGCACCAAGAUAAUUGAUGACUUUUCUCCUCUGAAGCUGGAG